CCUACGGGCGGCAGCAGUGGGGAAUAUUGGACAAUGGGCGAAAGCCUGAUCCAGCCAUGCCGCGUGUGUGAAGAAGGCCUUCGGGUUGUAAAGCACUUUCAGUGGGGAAGAAAGCCUUGGGGCUAAUACCCUCGAGGAAGGACAUCACCCACAGAAGAAGCACCGGCUAACUCCGUGCCAGCAGCCGCGGUAAUACGGAGGGUGCGAGCGUUAAUCGGAAUUACUGGGCGUAAAGCGCGCGUAGGCGGUCUGAUAAGCUGGUUGUGAAAGCCCCGGGCUCAACCUGGGAACGGCAUCCGGAACUGUCAGGCUAGAGUGCAGGAGAGGAAGGUAGAAUUCCCGGUGUAGCGGUGAAAUGCGUAGAGAUCGGGAGGAAUACCAGUGGCGAAGGCGGCCUUCUGGACUGACACUGACGCUGAGGUGCGAAAGCGUGGGUAGCAAACAGGAUUAGAUACCCCAGUAGUC
rnacentral:rRNA from 1 species